rnacentral:ncRNA from 1 species
ACCACGAUGUCGACUCAUCACAUCAUGGGGUUGAAGAAGGUCCCAAGGGUUUGGUUGUUCGCCGAUUCAAGUGGUACGUGAGUUGGGUUUAGAAUGUCGUGAGACAGUUC